rnacentral:lncRNA from 12 species
AAAAUGUCUAGAUAACAUGAAUUGUUUCAAGUUUGGGAUGUCAAUAUUCAAUGCCUGUUUUCCAGAAAUGCAGAUCCUGAGAAUAAGCCUUCAAGAAGCAUCUGAGGUGUGAGCAGAAUGAAAUGUGACAGUGAAGAGGUGACGAUAAAAAGCAAUGACAUCUGGACCACUCCCAGUCAGACCCAUCAUGCUGCAGAUGACUGUGAUUUUGUGUCUGUAAGCAGCAAGAAUGGGGUGCUCCUGGAGCUGGCAACAGAGCAAGGACAGUGAUUACUCUGACAGGGGCACUGUACCCAAGAAGACCAAGGUGCUGAACCCACAACGUGCCCAGGUUUGAGCCUGAAUGGAACUCUGGUACCAUGGGCAAGUGGUGCUUUUGUGGGGGUCCAGGCAAGAUGGAUUGAGCAGGUCCACUUACUCUAAUGAACAAGUUUUGUAUUUGCA